AUGAAUUAAUUUGUAAAGAUUUGUUUUAUGUGCCAAUAUGUGGUUUAAUUCAGAGAAAAUUUAAUGGGUUGCUGAAUAGAAUAGGCUUUUCUUUAUUAUUUGGGGGGAAUACUGGAAUAAGAUAUUUAUUUUGAAUGAAAUAACCUAGCAUUGCUGAGUUUGGGUUAAAUUUAUGUCUUGAAGUAUAAUAGAAUGCUUUCUAUAAAUGUGACAGUGCCAAAUCUUGGUGCAUUUAUGAAAUAGGAUUGUGUUUACCUGGUUAAUUUUUUCCUUUACCAGAGUGAACAGUCAGUCCUUCUUUAUCUCUUGUGAUUUGGUUUGAAAUCUACUUUGUCAUAUACUCUUAUUUUAAUACCUAUUUGCUUCCCUAUCUAUUGCUUGUAGAAUUUUUUCCAUCUUUUCACUGCAAUGCCACCUAUUCUUAAAGAUAAAAAUUAAAAUGAUGCUGGGAUCAAAUGUAAUACACAAGUUUGAAUGUUGUUCUACUGGUCAUUGUGUCUAAAACAGCUUCUGAUUAAAAUGAAUGACUUUGAAUGGUGAGGCCUACAAAAAUUUUUCCUUCAAGAACCCUGCUUAAAAUAUACAAAUAGUAAACAAUAUUUCCAGGUCCUAUCAAGUAAGAGAGGGAAGAUAGUCAAGGGGGAAAUCAAACCUGAAAGCUAAAAUUCUUGGGAGAAACUGAGAGCAAAGGGCAUAGUGCAGAACAUCAGACAAGACUCAAGACAUGACUCAAGUCUUGACAAGACAAGUACUCAGACAUGAAAGGAAGAAGGUAUA